AAGUCGUAACAAGGUUUCCGUAGGUGAACCUGCGGAAGGAUCAUUAUUGAAUGUAUUCUUUAUCUAUGUGCACUAAACAUUGAGAGUCAGCUAAUCGGAUUCAUUCGUUUGAGUCUGAUAAUGAUAUCUCAUUAUUUUUACCUAUAUUAUUUAUGAUAAACAAAACAUACUUUUAAAGUAUCCUAUACAACUUUUAGCAAUGGAUCUCUUGGCUCUC
rnacentral:misc_RNA from 1 species